UCCACAUGUGAAAAAUGUUGCAAACCCUUGAGUGAACUUUCUUAUAUUUCUCAACACAAGAUAGUUCAAACUGGAGUGAAAUAAUACAAAUGUUAAUAUGUUAGCACAUCUACAAACCCUAAAAGUUAGCAGCUUCCUGCUUAAUAGAAACCAUACAAGAUUGACAAAUGUGUUUAAUGGACAACAGAAGAUCUGGUGAUUGUGCUUGGAAGCAUAAGCUGGAAAUGCUGCAGUAUAAGAAAAUACCCUGAUAACAACUAUUCAUCAGUCUCCUGCUUCCUGACUGUGGAUGGAACAUGACUACCUGCUUUAAGCUCCUGUCGCCUUUACUUUCUUACAUGUGUGGUGGUUGGAGUAAGACCCCAAGGGCUCAGAGAUUUGAAUGCUUAGUCAUCAGGCAGGAGCACUUCUUUAAAAGGAUUAAGCAGUGUGGCAUCAUUGGAGUAAGUGUAUCACUGGGGGUUGUAUUUAAGUGUUCAAAAGCUCAAAGCCAGUGUUUCCCUUUUCUUCCUGAUUGUGGAUCAAAAUGUAAAAUUCUCAGCUACUUCAUCAUAUCUGUCUCCACCAUGUUCCCUAGCAUGCUCCCUACAAUAAUGAUAAUGUUCAAAACUUCUGAAACUGUAAACAAGCCCAAUAAAUGCUUUCUUUCUAAUAGUU
rnacentral:lncRNA from 1 species